GACGUAGGGCGCGAGCGUUGUCCGGAUUUAUUGGGCGUAAAGAGCCCGUAGGCGGCUUGUCGCGUCGUCCGUGAAAACCCAGGGCUCAACCCUGGGCCUGCAUUCGAUACGGGCAGACUAGAGUUCGGUAGGGGAGACUGGAAUUCCUGGUGUAGCGGUGAAAUGCGCGGAUAUCAGGAGGAACACCGGUGGCGAAGGCGGGUCUCUGGGCCGAAACUGACGCUGAGGAGCGAAAGCGUGGGGAGCAAACAGG
rnacentral:rRNA from 1 species